CCAAACCAGCUUUACAUCUCCAGCGCAUUUUGUGUUUCUUAUUCUUUUUUCUUCAUUCAUACUAAGCUCUUUACCAGCUUGCAGUUUAGUUGUACCAAAGACAACGGAUUCCAGCAAUCCUAUUUAGGACAAUCAGUAGAGAAAAGGUAUAACAUCUCUCUUAUAUAAAUUACGAGAAUAAACGAAUCCUCAAUCGAAUUACAUUGCACAAAACUCGCUAGACAGCAUAGCAUAGUGCCGAUGAAGAACUAACAACCGAGUUGAGCUUCUCCCAUUACUCGUGCUUAUCAGAAACCUGUUUCGUUCCAACAGCAAAGAACUCUGUAAUGACCUCCAGUGGCAUGCCCUUUGUUUCAGGAACCCUUAAGUACACGAAAAUCAAGGAGAGGAGACAUACCACGGCAUAAAUGGCAAAAACACCGGCCAACCCAAUCGAACUAAGCAACAAGGGAAAAGUGUAGGUAACGAUGACAUCACCUAUCCAGAAGACUAGAGCACAGAUGGCAAUGCAGAUUCCACGAACCCUUGUAGGAAAUAUUUCAGAGCAGAGAAUAUUCGGGAUUGACCCAUAGGCCAUAACGAAAACGCAGAUGUAGAUAAUUAGACAGAUGGUUGAGAUAACGGCAUGUGCUAUGGUUCCAAAAUCGAAAACAUCAGAUAUGAUGAGGAUGAUGAGUGACACUAUCAAAACCGGGAUAGUCGUGAGCAGCAAGGACCUGUAAAAUGAGCGAUGUGAUAUUUUUCUCAUUAGGAUAUCAUAAAAGAGAACUCCACACAUUUAAGAAGAUUACAAUUCUUUAACAUAGUUUUACCCAAAAGAAAAGGAUUGCUAUGAACUCAUUCGAUCAACCUACUCAUUGUCAUUGAGACUGUUUAUCAGUUAACGACGGAGAUACUAUUACAGAAAAAAUGACUUCUUUUUAUAGUCAGCCACUUCUAACUGGAAAAGAGAAACAAGAAAUUGACCAAAAAGAUUGGAAGAAAUGUCGAAGCCUGAAAUUUGAGAAGUUACAGACAGAAGCUACAGAGACCAGUCAGCAUCAGAAAAGGAGAAAUAAAGGAAAAUGGAAAGAAGUUACCUUCUGCCAGAAAGAUCCAUGAACCUCAUACCAACAGCUAUACAAGGAAGCAUCAAGAAAUUUGUAAAUGCACUAAUGAGGAAAGAUGCAGAUUCUGAUCCAAUGCCAAGGUUAGAAAGAAGAGCUGAAAUGCCUGCCUGCUGAAGAAUUUGAGGUGCGUAGUACAAAACCCCAUUGAUACCAGAAAACUGCAGAAACAUGAGAAAGAAUGAGAAGCAAGUUUGGACAAGUCUAUUAUCCAACAAAGUUGACUCGUCUUAAAAUCAAUAAGGUUAUUAGAGAAAACAAAAUGCCUGGAUGAACCCGCCAUCAACUGGAACAUCACCUCCAGUGAGUGAAAUGAGAGACCCACGUCUUGACCCAGGAGCACCCUCCUCGUGCAGAUAAAUCCGUUUAAAACCUCCUCCUUUCUUUCCAUCUUCACCUUCUCUCUCGGACCAUUUCCAUGCUAGCUGCCAACCACUACCAAUACCCAUGUUACCAACAGCUUCUGCAUUCCCUUGCAUGUGACUGCUGUCGCGUCUCAUACUUAGAAUGCUUCCAUGGGGCUGAGGGACGAUCAUGUCCUUCUCCAUGCUUGUCGUUUGACGUGAAAUUAAUGGACUAUGCAAAUUAUCAUCUGAAUCGGCACCAUCAGCCUCUGAUGCGUAUCCAUCACUUUCUCUCUGCUGACUCUCUUCAUCCCAAUCUUCAUUUUUAUCCUGAGGCUCAGCUGUACUGAACAUGCUGCCAAAAUUGGGAAAUAGCAUGCUUCGCAUACUUCCCGUCUCUGGAAGCUUCUCAUGGACACUGCCAAAGAGUGUUACAAGAGGAUCCUUGAGAGACAAGGUCCGAUUUACCAUGGUUCCUUGACGGGAGACAAGGCCUAUGCUACUCUGUCCAUUAACAGGCUUGGCAACCCAUGAGCGGCCAUCCUCAGGUCCAUACAACUUGAUACGGUCUUUACCAGGAUAUGGCUCUUGAUCCUCCCCAAGAUCAUCCGCUGGACUGAUGAUGUAUUCUUCUAUGGAUGUGUUACCACCAACUGCUAGACCUUCAACCACUAAAGCCAUCUCACCUAUGAAAAAAGGAACAUCAGCACAAUCAACAUAGUGAUUAAAAUUUCAAGCUUUCAUACGAUAUUUGGUCAAAGAAAAUUAGAAACUCCAAAUGGUUUCAUUAGUAAAACUUUUACCACAGAUAGAGGAAAAAAAGAAGGCAACAAUAUAACUACAGACGAACAUCCAUAUAAGAUCCUUUGAUCACUUAUUAUACCAUGUUAAAGUUGGAAAAGAAAGUCAUACGACAGUAAUGACAAGUUGAAUCAUCUAAAUUGUAAGACAAACAGUUGUGCAGCCAGUAAACCUCAAAUAACACACAAGAAAGAUAAAAAUUAUAAAGCUGAGAAUUCGACCAUUGUAAUUAGCCUCUAAGUUGCUACAUUACGUAUACAUGCAGAAUGCAAUUGAUUUUUUUAACAACGUGCAAUUAUUAUGUAUAUUUUAAUAGUUUUAAUUUAUUUUUGACAGUCCUUUGCUUUCGAAACUUCCGAAAUUUCUGGCUUUAAGUGAAUAUGCCAAAAAUAUGCAGCACAGAUUCCACUGAAAAACAAGGAUUUAAUCCAAAUUCAUCUAUCAGUAUCCACAUUUUAGCAUACCCUAACCAGAAAAGACCUUCAGGACAGCAUAUUUAUCUUAUCAUUUGCAUAAAAUAUGAAAAAAAAAAAAAAAAAAAAAAAAAUCAAGUAUGAUUGGACAAAUUUUUUUUUGGGAAUUUUAAAAAAAAAUUUCUUUACCAUCAACAAAUUAGAAUUGAAGAAUAGUUCCAUAUUUUGAGAUCGUUUUCAUAAGAAGAUGAUCUUAGCACGACAUGUUGCAAACUAAGAGCUAGACCAAGACUAACGUGGCCUGUUGAGAUUGCUACACACUUAGCUACCUUGGAUAUCCCCACUAAAAUGUGCGAUGAACAAAACAUAUUGAUGAAAAAGGAUUUGCGUUAGGCUUAUUGUUGCUUGCUACUUUUAUUAUUAUUGUUGGUUGCUAUUUUUAUUAAACAAAGAAAUCUAUAAUCUUUUAACACCACAAACCGCGGCCUAACGGUGCAGGACAUCAUUUUUCUAACUGAAUUUGACACGUAAAGAAUAUAUGUAAGGUUACCUUUUCCUUUACUAAAAAAUACCAUGAGAACAGUUCAUAAGUUGAAAGUCCAAUUAGAAUGCAUUUGUAAAUUUCAAACAAGUAAUAGUUCAAACUUUUUAACUGGUUGGACUAGGAUCGAGCAUAACUCGUUCAAGACCUCGACCAAAAAUUUAAUUUGAAGAAAUUGCCCUUAAUACGCCCUUUUCCAUAUUCCAAAUAUGCUCACCUUUUCUUUCAUAAUAUCACAUGUACUCCCCUUAAUAUCUAUGAAUAAUUAUGUUUAUAUACCCAAAAGUAUACCGAAUUGUUUAACUCCUCUCACAUGCACGUGGAACCCGCGUGAAUAAAAAAAUCUCAAAACAUGGUCCCACCCCCACCCCCCAUUGAAUAGGGGAAUACAGUAAAAGAUUAGAUAAAAAAAUUCGAUACAUGUAGUAUGAUCCAAUAUCUGUUGGUAUUGAGCCAUUAGAUGGUAAGGCACAAUCCAAAUGGCCAAAAAUAAAAAAGGCUAUGCAAGCCUUGAAAGCCAAAUACGGACCCAAACCAGCUUUACAUCUCCAGCGCAUUUUGUGUUUCUUAUUCUUUUUUCUUCAUUCAUACUAAGCUCUUUACCAGCUUGCAGUUUAGUUGUACCAAAGACAACGGAUUCCAGCAAUCCUAUUUAGGACAAUCAGUAGAGAAAAGGUAUAACAUCUCUCUUAUAUAAAUUACGAGAAUAAACGAAUCCUCAAUCGAAUUACAUUGCACAAAACUCGCUAGACAGCAUAGCAUAGUGCCGAUGAAGAACUAACAACCGAGUUGAGCUUCUCCCAUUACUCGUGCUUAUCAGAAAC
rnacentral:lncRNA from 1 species